GACGAACGCUGGCGGCGUGCUUAACACAUGCAAGUCGAACGGAAAGGCCCUGCUUUUGUGGGGUGCUCGAGUGGCGAACGGGUGAGUAACACGUGAGUAACCUGCCCUUGACUUUGGGAUAACUUCAGGAAACUGGGGCUAAUACCGGAUAGGAGCUCCUGCUGCAUGGUGGGGGUUGGAAAGUUUCGGCGGUUGGGGAUGGACUCGCGGCUUAUCAGCUUGUUGGUGGGGUAGUGGCUUACCAAGGCUUUGACGGGUAGCCGGCCUGAGAGGGUGACCGGCCACAAUGGGACUGAGGUACGGGCCAGACUCCUACGGGGGGCAGCAGGGGGGAAUAUUGCCCAAUGGGCGGGAGCCUGAUGCCGCAACGCCGCGUGCGGGAUGACGGCCUUCGGGUUGUAAACCGCUUUCGCCUGUGACGAAGCGUGAGUGACGGUAAUGGGUAAAGAAGCACCGGCUAACUACGUG
rnacentral:rRNA from 1 species